rnacentral:rRNA from 2 species
GACCGGCGCACGGUGGAGUAACGCGUAUGCUACUUACCUAUCAGAGGGGGAUAGCCCGGCGAAAGGCGGAUUAAUACUCCAUAAAACAGGGGUUCCGCAUGGGACUAUUUGUUAAAGAUUCAUCGCUGAUAGAUAGGCAUGCGUUCCAUUAGGCAGUUGGCGGGGUAACGGCCCACCAAACCGACGAUGGAUAGGGGUUCUGAGAGGAAGGUCCCCCACAUUGGUACUGAGACACGGACCAAACUCCUACGGGAGGCAGCAGUGAGGAAUAUUGGUCAAUGGCCGAGAGGCUGAACCAGCCAAGUCGCGUGAAGGAUGAAGGAUCUAUGGUUUGUAAACUUCUUUUAUAGGGGAAUAAAGUGUGGGACGUGUCCCAUUUUGUAUGUACCCUAUGAAUAAGCAUCGGCUAACUCCGUGCCAGCAGCCGCGGUAAUACGGAGGUGCGAGCGUUAUCCGGAUUUAUUGGGUUUAAAGGGUGCGUAGGUGGUAAUUUAAGUCAGCGGUGAAAGUUUGUGGCUCAACCAUAAAAUUGCCGUUGAAACUGGGUUACUUGAGUGUGUUUGAGGUAGGCGGAAUGCGUGGUGUAGCGGUGAAAUGCAUAGAUAUCACGCAGAACUCCAAUUGCGAAGGCAGCUUACUAAACCAUAACUGACACUGAAGCACGAAAGCGUGGGUAUCAAACAGGAUUAGAUACCCUGGUAGUCCACGCAGUAAACGAUGAUUACUAGGAGUUUGCGAUACACAGUAAGCUCUACAGCGAAAGCGUUAAGUAAUCCACCUGGGGAGUACGCCGGCAACGGUGAAACUCAAAGGAAUUGACGGGGGCCCGCACAAGCGGAGAACAUGUGGUUUAAUUCGAUGAUACGCGAGGAACCUUACCCGGGUUUGAACGUAGUCAGACCGGCCUUGAAAGAGGUCUUCUAGCAAUAGCUGAUUACGAGGUGCUGCAUGGUUGUCGUCAGCUCGUGCCGUGAGGUGUCGGCUUAAGUGCCAUAACGAGCGCAACCCUUAUCACUAGUUACUAACAGGUUAAGCUGAGGACUCUGGUGAGACUGCCAGCGUAAGCUGUGAGGAAGGUGGGGAUGACGUCAAAUCAGCACGGCCCUUACAUCCGGGGCGACACACGUGUUACAAUGGCAUGGACAAAGGGCAGCUACCUGGCGACAGGAUGCUAAUCUCUAAACCAUGUCUCAGUUCGGAUCGGAGUCUGCAACUCGACUCCGUGAAGCUGGAUUCGCUAGUAAUCGCGCAUCAGCCAUGGCGCGGUGAAUACGUUCCCGGGCCUUGUACACACCGCCCGUCAAGCCAUGGGAGCCGGGGGUACCUGAAGUCCGUAACCGCAAG